AGAUAUUAUGAUAUUUUCCUCCUCUGUCUCGUCUCACUAUAAUAUAUAAAUAACAAAUUGCAUUUUAAAAUUACGCAUCAAGGAGCAAGAACGAACUUUUGGUGGUUGCAGCUAAGCACGCAGUAUACAUUGUUAAAACGAGCGAUGCGCAAACGACAAACCAAUUUUUAUAUCUGUUGGAUUAAUGUUGCGUGAAAAACAAACUCACUACUCAAGAAAAGACAAUUUACCACCAGUGACAACAUCAUAACUCAAAACGUUUAAUGAUCUAAGGAAUGGAAAAAAAACUCAACAGUUUAUUUUUAAGAAGACAUCUCACCCGGACAUGUUGUGGAGACAACGAAGGUCUACAAGUCGUUCCUUUGACUUGUGACAUAUUUACCGACAGUCCUUGGGAAACGCACCAGUGACAAAAUCUAAUUGGACAAGUAGACCAUUCCUACGUUUCGGCAAUUUAUUAUUAUUUAUUUUAAACAUGAGUGACGAAUAUUUGGCAAGUAAGUACACCGUACAUCAGUCGUGGGAACCCGUUGUAACGUGUAGUGUCCGUUAUACGGGUAGCAGAAAAUCUGGACACUAACUAGUUUAAUUUAAGGUUUUUUUUUUUACUACAAAAAUGCCAAUGUAAAACGGUAGAACUCCUGAGUGCCGAAUUUGUUUAUAAUUAAUAUUUAGUAUUUAGUGAUAACUAUAACAGAUACAUUUUUUGUCAAUUUAUUAUUCUUUUAACUAUUAUUUGUAAUGCACGGUUAUAAAUACACAUAGUACUGUAAGUAGGAGGUACCUAACUAAUUAUUAAUUUAAUGUAAUAUAAUUAACAUUGGAACGAAUAAACAGAGUUGUAAACUAUAACUAUAACUUAAUAGACAUAAACCUGAUUUUAAAAGGGGUUUCAAGACAUGCAGUCUUGAGCUCACUGAUUUGCGUUUAUGUUCGAAGUACGAGCUCCAGUCAAACGUUUAUCAAAUUGUUACCCUAGGUACUUUACAUCGUUUGCUUGUGGAAUGACCUUGUUGUUGAAUGUGACAGGUGGGAAAUCGGACUUACGCAUUGUGAAAGUUACAUGAGUGGAUUUGUUUUCAUUGAUUUUAAUUUUCCACCGAUUUGUCCGUAUUAUGUUUAUCAUAUUUAGGUGACUUUGGAUCAUUCUGCAGACGGUCGACGACGUGAAUGACAGUCUUACCGUCUAACGGGUACACCUCGUAACAAUCUGAUGCCACGACAUAAGCGGCCCUCUGCAAGUCGUCCAACGCCUGCCGACCGUUGGCCAUCAUCGAACCGAAGUCGGCAUUCAUGACCGCUGACCAGUAUACCAACGUCCGUCGACACGUCGUCAUCGAAGUCUUGAAAGGCACACAGGACGGUCUUCAGAUCACUCAUAAACGACUAUGGGGUAGCCGUGACUUACAAUGCUCGCUGGGAGAGGGUUAGGCAUAGAUUAUAUUUUAAUGCAAAAUUAAAUUAUAAAAACGCUAUAAGUGUUUACUCGAUGAUUAUAAUAUAUUUUCAAAUGUUUAUUAUAGCUAUAACACAAUAAGGUUUUUAAGCAUUGCCACAGGACACUCUUUACACGGUAUGCAAAAUCUAUUUGAAAAUAAAGUCGUUAAAAAAUUUAA